CUCCAAGUAAAGAGAGGUGAAGGAUGCUAUGAGCUCAGGGAGGCUGCAGCUGGAUACUCACUCAGGGAUUUGUUUACUCAAACGCUGCUGCUGAAGUAUUCACAAAGAAUCCAAUCAGACUCCUAUUAAACCACUCCAGCUCAACAUUUAAGAGGGCAAUCUUGGCGUUCUUAGACUCCUUGGGCCGAGUCUCAAACUUAGCAGAAGAGAAAGUGUUCCUGACCAGGACGCCAGCCACCAGCUAAGACUCCCCUAGGGCUCCACCCUGCACCUUCUUGAUGCAAACCAUGUUAAGCUUCAGCAGUUCAGCUAAGCGUCAUCACAGCAUCCACGGUGUUGGCGAGGGAGGCCUUGUGUUGGAAGCAGCCAACGGCCUCUGCACACGUCACCCGGUUAGUGGAUCAGCAGAGCUCACGCUGAGGCCCAGUACAAGUGUGAAGACUGGAGACAGAAACUGAAUCUCCAGGUCGUGCUUUCUGUAGUGAGCUCGUUGUGUGAGGAGGUGACCAGCUGACACUCUGGGGCAAUGGCCUCACCACCUCAUCUGACACAGAGAACAACAAGGUAGUUAAUCAUCCAAGAUCCUCAGCUUGUUCCCCUGGUCAGGUGACUCCUGAGAUUCAUGACAUCCACAGCCUCAUGCUUGCCUCUUCUCUGCCUUUUCGGAUAUCUGGGCUCAGGGAUGACAUUGUCUCAGCCCCUGGGCUCUGUAAUAUCUGACUCCCCACACUCUCCUGUCUAAGGAACACACAAGCAGACUCCUGUCUAUAGAUGUCUAGAAGACCCUCCUGCACCCUUCACAAACCCUGCUGUCAACUUCACACGUGUGAGUACACCUUUUGGGGACGUUGUGGAAAUGGAGCUACUGAAACGUAGGACACAGUCACUUGCUGUUUCAAAAGGACAAUGCUCUCCAUGAAGAUUCAGUCGAGUGCCAAAAUUUUACUAACACAAAGGAAAAAGUGCUGCGGUG
rnacentral:lncRNA from 1 species